GAGUUUGAUCCUGGCUCAGAUUGAACGCUGGCGGCAGGCCUAACACAUGCAAGUCGAGCGGUAGAGAGAAGCUUGCUUCUCUUGAGAGCGGCGGACGGGUGAGUAAUGCCUAGGAAUCUGCCUGGUAGUGGGGGAUAACGCUCGGAAACGGACGCUAAUACCGCAUACGUCCUACGGGAGAAAGCAGGGGACCUUCGGGCCUUGCGCUAUCAGAUGAGCCUAGGUCGGAUUAGCUAGUUGGUGAGGUAAUGGCUCACCAAAGGCGACGAUCCGUAACUGGUCUGAGAGGAUGAUCAGUCACACUGGAACUGAGACACGGUCCAGACUCCUACGGGAGGCAGCAGUGGGGAAUAUUGGACAAUGGGCGAAAGCCUGAUCCAGCCAUGCCGCGUGUGUGAAGAAGGGUCUUCGGAUUGUAAAGCACUUUAA
rnacentral:rRNA from 1 species